GAACUGGAGAGUUUGAUUCUGGCUCAGAUUGAACGCUGGCGGCGUGCUUAACACAUGCAAGUCGAACGCGAAAGAGGCUUCGGUCUCGAGUAGAGUGGCGCACGGGUGAGUAACGCGUGGAUAAUCUGCCCUCAUAAUCGGGAUAACAGUUGGAAACGGCUGCU
rfam:Desulfovibrio sp. 6_1_46AFAA genomic scaffold supercont1.5, whole genome shotgun sequence.